rnacentral:rRNA from 1 species
CCUACGGGAGGCAGCAGUGAGGAAUAUUGGUCAAUGGACGAGAGUCUGAACCAGCCAAGUAGCGUGAAGGAUGACUGCCCUAUGGGUUGUAAACUUCUUUUAUAUGGGAAUAAAACGUUCCACGUGUGGGAUUUUGUAUGUACCAUAUGAAUAAGGAUCGGCUAACUCCGUGCCAGCAGCCGCGGUAAUACGGAGGAUCCGAGCGUUAUCCGGAUUUAUUGGGUUUAAAGGGAGCGUAGGUGGAUUGUUAAGUCAGUUGUGAAAGUUUGCGGCUCAACCGUAAAAUUGCAGUUGAAACUGGCAGUCUUGAGUACAGUAGAGGUGGGCGGAAUUCGUGGUGUAGCGGUGAAAUGCUUAGAUAUCACGAAGAACCCCGAUUGCGAAGGCAGUUCACUGAACUGCAACUGACACUGAGGCUCGAAAGUGUGGGUAUCAAACAGGAUUAGAUACCCGAGUAGUC